CGCCUCUUGAAUAAAUAUAAGAGGUCCAGCCUGCCCAGUGACUCUGUUCAACGGCCGCGGUAUCCUAACCGUGCGAAGGUAGCGUAAUCACUUGUUCUUUAAAUGAGGACUAGUAUGAAUGGCACCACGAAGGUUAUACUGUCUCCUCUUUUUAAUCAGUGAAACUAAUCUCCCCGUGAAGAAGCGGGAAUAAACAUAUAAGACGAGAAGACCCUAUGGAGCUUUAAACCACGUAAUACUUGCACCACCACAACACAAAUUUCAGAAAAAUCUCUCCAACGCAUGCAAGCUUAUUACCAGUUUUAGGUUGGGGUGACCGCGGAGCAAAAAACAACCUCCACAUUGAAAGGAGCUUACUCCUUAGCCAAGAGCCACACCUCCACGCACCAUUAUAAUGACAUUAAUUGACCCAAUAUUUUGAUCAACGAACCAAGUUACCCUAGGGAUAACAGCGCAAUCCAUUUCAAGAGCUCCUAUCGACAAAUGGGUUUACGACCUCGAUGUUGGAUCAGGGUAUCCCGGUGGUGCAGCCGCUACCAAAGGUUCGUUUGUUCAACGAUUAAAACCCU
rnacentral:rRNA from 1 species